rnacentral:rRNA from 1 species
GACAGAGGGUGCAAACGUUGUUCGGAAUUACUGGGCGUAAAGCGCGCGUAGGCGGUUUUCCAAGUCGGGCGUGAAAGCCCCGGGCUCAACCCGGGAAAUGCGCUCGAAACUUGAAGACUGGAGGCCGGAAGAGGGUAGUGGAAUUCCCAGUGUAGAGGUGAAAUUCGUAGAUAUUGGGAAGAACACCAGUGGCGAAGGCGGCUACCUGGUCCGGAUCUGACGCUGAGGCGCGAAAGCGUGGGGAGCAAACAGG